rnacentral:lncRNA from 1 species
GGAUACUGCUUGUCCUAAAGAUUCAGGAGGAAUAGAACUUUCUCCAGGAACCCAGGGACUUAUCCAGGGAUGACAAUCUAACUUUUUAGGGUCUGAUUGAAAGAUCUGCAUCCUUGUGGACAAGAACUUAACUCUACAGAGGAGAUUCCUCCUGCCACAGGAUUACACCUGGAAAGAUUUUAACAUUCUUUUCCUUUGUCAAGUCCCCAAAGGAUACAUUCCUGAUAGGGAAUCCUAGAGUUUAUUCUCCCUUGAAUGACUAAGGCCCUAGGCAAAGCUGAAGAGGAGUCUGGAUUCUGUGAGAAUGAACAAGGCAGCUGCUCGGAGUCGGCUGCUGAGGGGGCCAUCUGUUUAAGCAACGAGAAGUACGGAGCUAAAGAGGCACACGGUAUUCAAACAUGUGAUAACAUAGGAUGUGACUGUUUAAAUUCACCUGGCUUCGGUCAACAUUGACAGAAGGUGUACAUGACUCUACGGGAAUGGGGAAAUGGCAGCACCAGGGGCUGACUGAGCCCCAGUCCUGACUGUGACUGCUUUGGUAACAACAAGGUGUUUAGGAAGAACAGUCCCAGUCCUUUUCCAAAGGUCGCCUCCUGGUGUUUACUAAAGGAACUCUGAGUCUCAGCAGAAGCAGAAGUCCUACCAUUAGCUUGCAGAACCCUUCAGGAUGGGAAAGAAGACUUGGGCUUCAGUGACUCAGCCUGGAGCUGGGAACAGGCAGGCAGGGAUACAGAGUGGGUGUUCUUCUCCUACAGGAGGAGAGAUGCAUCCCUCAUGCCCAGAGAGGCUCUGGGGUCCCCGAAUCCAGAGGUAGUAGAAGAAGAGUCAAAACACACUCUCCUGAGAACACAUCUCAGGUGCAUGGAACACAAGACACGCUGCUUUGAUUAGGGUGCUCUCUUGUCCAUUUUGUUCUAUAAUCCACAAGAGAAGACCAUCUGCACAGCAGUGACAUGCUCUAGUUGACCAUGAUGAGCCUUUCCUAGGGAAACUAUUUUGAGUGGUAUAUCUUACAGGAGACUGCAAGGCUCAAUAGUACAGUCACCAGGAAAAUCUACAUGUAAAUAUGACACUUAUGAACCGGCAAUAAAAUAUGGUGAGUCUAAAGACCUUCCAUGUCAAAGUUCUUUUUCUUUUUUUUUUUUGACGGAGUUUCACUUUAGUUGCCCAGGCUGGAGUGCAGUGGUGUGAUCUUGGCUCACCACAACCUCCGCCUCUUGGGUUCAAGCCAUUCUCCUGCCUCAGCCUUCUGAGUAGCUGCAAUUACAGGCAUGUGCCACCACAUCUGGCUAAUUUUGUGUUUUUAGUAAAGAUGGGGUUUCUCCAUGUUGGUCAGGCUGGUCUUGAACUCCUGACCUCAGGUGAUCCACCCGCCUUGGCCUCCCAAAGGGCUUGGAUUACAGGCGUGAGCCAUCGCGCCCAGCCUCUUUUUUUUUUUUUUUUUUUUAAAGACACAGUCUCCCUCUGUUGCCCAGUCCGGAGUGCAGUGGCACAAUCAAGGUUCACUGCAGCCUCAAACUCCUGGGUUCAGGCGAUCCUCCUACUUCAGCCUCCUGAGUAGCUGGGACCACAGGUGUAUACUACCAUGUCUCAGCUAGUUUUUUAUUUUUUAAUUUUAUUUUUGUAGAGACAGGGCCUCACUAUGUUGCCCAGGUUGGUCUCAAUCUUCUGGGCUCCAGCGAUCCUCCCGCCUUGGCCUCCCAAAGUACGGGCAUUACAGGCAUGAGCCACUGUGCCCAGCCAAGGCUCCUUGUCUGUGAGGAGGAUUCAGAGACAUCUUAGAAAUUUUCAUUACCUUUGCCUAUGAAUUAAGUAUAUAGUAUCGGCAAAAAAUAUUUGGACACUUCUGGCUUAAAUGGAUGGAAGCUUUAAGAGUUCAACCGUUGUUCCCAUGGACAGGGCAAAGGUAGGGGAAGGAAAACGGAAGUCUCUACUUUAGUUCUUCACUUAUACUUUUUCUUUUAAAAAGACUAUUCUGUUUGUGUCCCUGGCAACAAGCUCCUCCCAGGAUCCUAAGGGAGUUGGUGGAUAGGGAGGAGGAGAUUGGUGGUGGCUGAGCUGAAGCAGGACAGAAUAGGAUACUGAUGUCAGAGGGCGAGGCAGGCGCUCAGUUGGAAAGUUGCUCUUUGUUCCUAAAAAUAAAAGUCUGACCCUGCUUUUUUGGGAUCUUCCCUGGAAUGAAGCCAGCCAACUGCUGAUCUCUUUUUAGAAUUAGCUCAGUAGCCCUCAGCCCAAAGGUGAACUCCAAAGACCCUCCAGAUAUUCUGGCCCCCAAUAAAAUGUUACACAGUAAAGUAAAUGACAUCAGAGAAAGUUUCUCUUGAAAGGAUAGGAUGGCCUGUAUAUUUGUAAAGCAAAAUGUAUCCAGCAGAAAGGAUGAGUGGAUAGGACUAGGGAGAGGAGGGGGAUAUUGAAGACAGAGAAUACCAGGUUGGGAACGCUGCCCAGAGGUUGUGAAAGGAUUAACAACUGGAUGUGGCUGUGUGCUUUAGAAAAUUCUCUAGGAGGACCAAGUGUGGCAAGGAACCUCAAAGACCCUCCAUGAAGGAUCCACACCACACCCUCCUUCUGGAGAGCUCUCUACAGUACUCGGAAUCUUACGUUUUAUCCAUUCAUGAAGUCUUUACCCAAAGUUACAGCUACAGUUUAUAAAAUGGCAGUGAUGUAUUACGCUGCACAUCAAACGAGAAGCCCUUUUCCUUUAAAGAGGUUGUAUUUUGGAGAGGGUUUUGGGCAGCCAUUGUAUAGACUGUACACUGUUCUGGGUCCAAGAACCAAAGCCAUGUCUUAGAACUUUCCUAAGACUGAGCCUCAUGUUAUGGGCUGAUCAUCCUGUAUAUCUAAGGACCCUUUUUGCAGUGUCAUUCCUAACUAUUCCAGUGACCAGCCACCUUAAAUGACUCAAUGCAUAAAUAAAACAUCAGGUAGUGAAGAAGUUCUUUCCUUCCCUGGAAGCGGGAUAAGAUUCUGUGGCCAUGCACACAAAAGCUCCUAUACUUUUCUCUCAUUAGCAAAUGCUGGGAAGAAAUUCAUUCAAACUUCAAUCAUUAUUUUUUAUGUAAGUAUCUGGGACUACAGGAUGUAAAAUAAAGGGCAGAGUUCACUAGUUUAUACACUGCUCCUCUAGAGUUUAGCUGGCGGAAAUAAUUUUCUGGUUGAGAAAACGGAAGAUUGUAAAAGAUUUCUCAGGAAACCCUUAGCGUAUUUAACUGCAAAUUCCCCAGCCUAGGACAGAGUUUCUUAAUUAGGUAAUCCAGAGGGACCACCUGUACCAGAAUCAGCUACAGGUGCUUUGAAGAUGUAGCUUUCGGGGGCCCAUCCCAGAUUUGGAUCUCUGGGAUGGGGCCCGAGUAUCUUCAAUUGGAACAAGCUCACCAGGUGAUACACUGAAGUUUGGGAAUCAUUGCUAUGUCUUGAAAGAAACAUCCCACACCAGGUCACCUCUACUUAAAGUAAAAAAAAAAAAAAGUCCGGGCGCGGUGGCUCACGCCUGUAAUCCCAGCACUUUGGGAGGCCGAGGUGGGCGGAUCACGAGGUCAGCAGAUCCAGACCAUCCUGGCUAACACGGUGAAACCCCCGUCUCUACUAAAAAUACAAAAAAUUAGCUGGGCGCGGUGGCAGGUGCCUGUAGUUCCAGCUACUGGGGAAGCUGAGGCAGGAGAAUGGCGUGAACCCGGGAGGCGCAGUUUGCAGUGAGCCGAGAUCGCGCCACUGCACUCCAGCCUGGGUGACAGAGCGAGACUCCGUUCUCAAAAAAAAAAAAAAAAAAAAAAAAAAAGGUAAAAGGACCUACACUUCUUCAGGUGUAGCUCUUGCUUUCCUAGUUCACAGAUAUUUUUAAAGUUGUCUUUUUGUUUGUUAGUUUUUUUGAGACAGAAUUUUGCUCUUGUUGCUUAGGCUGGAGUGCAGUGGCGCGAUCUCGGCUCACUGCAACCUCCGCCUCCUGGGUUCAAGUAAUUCUCCUGCCUCAGCCUCCCAAGUAGCUGGGAUUACAGGUGCCCGCCACCACACUUGGCUAAUUUUUCGUAUUUUCAGUAGAGACACAGUUUCCCCAUGUUGGCCAGGCUGGUCUCGAACUCCUGACCUCAGGUAAUCCACCUGCCUCGGCCUCCCCAAGUGCAGGGAUUACAGGUGUGAGCCACUGCGCCUGGCCAAAGUUAUCUUAACAUUAUUGGCCCUCCAUUAACUUGUAUUAUAGCAAGCAUCAAGAGGAUGAACUUCCCAGACGUAAAAUGAGUCAGUCAAUGUUCUGUCACUGGAGGUCUUCAAGCAGAGGCUGGAAAGCCACUUCUUAGGAAUACCAUAGGAAAGAAUAAAGUAUUGCUCACGCCUGUAAUCCCAGCACUUUGGGAGGCCGAGGAGGGCAGAUCACGAAGUCAGGAGUUCGAGACCAGCCUGGCCAAGAUGGUGAAACCCCAUCUCUACUUAAAAAAAAAAAAAAGAAUAAAGUAUCAGUAGAGGGCCCUAACCCUAAAAUAAUGUAUCACAUUUCCUCUAGCUCUAUGAUCAUAGGAUAAUAUUAUAAGAAAAUCAGCUUUAAUAUAUCAAGUAUUACAUUUUAAAAAGUCUAAGCAUAUGCCCAGAUUUUUUUGGUAGUUUUAAAAAGAAGCAUGAAAGCCAAUCUGUAAAACUGAAGUCCAGAAGCUGAGGAUAGAACUAUCAACAGGCUUCAGGAUUCUUAGCCUUAAUUCCAGCUCUGAAACGUAUUGGCUCACCAUACGCUCAUGAAGACAAACAGAAAAAAGGCAGAAGAGUUCAUCAUCUUCACAUUGCCCUACCCAGUCCCAAGCAUCCUGUUAUCUAAUGGCACUGUGAUGACUGCUAAGCCUUGUCACUCUUCGGAGUGGUGUUCAUCAGAUCAGAGACUUAAAUCUCUCGCAAUGCUUCAGGUUCUUCAACUGCAAAAGGGUAUCACUAAAUGCCCAGGGAAAUACAAUUUUCAAGAGGAUAAAUGCUUGACUGUGCUGGUUAUUGGCACCUGUUUUCCAUUUCCCUAGAGUUUCCUCUUCACUAGUCAAAAGUGUGCGUGUCCAUGGAUCUUUGCUACUACAGAAAAAUAAUUCCAACCCUAGGUAGUGCUAAGGAUGGGGUAGCAGUGAGCACAUUACCAAAAGGCUCAGCGUAAAUGGGUACAGAAGAUGAGCCUGUGCAAAACAAAAUAAAAAAGGAGAUUCUGAAGUUCCUCAAUCAAUUAAACUAACAAUUCAGAUAAACAGGAGAGUGAAUCUGUGGAGUCUGAAUUAUCUGGCAACCUUUCCAUGUAUCAUAUUGACAUAAAGAUUGCCAAACCGCCCACUCUUCAAUUCAUGUUGUGUGGACUGUACUUAAACACCUCGAUGGCUUUGGAACUCAGAUUUGAGACAGGCACUUGAAGAAGAUGACUGAGAAAUGUUCAAUUUGAUGAAAAAUUGCAAACAACCGGACCACUGUGAAACCAUAUGUAUGGGUUGUUUCUAACUGGGUGCUUUACUUCUGAAACAGUUUUCAAGUUUGGGAUCUAAAGCACAUGGUCAGGAGUUCAAGCAAGCCAUAGCAGGCCAUCCUUUGCAGCAGGCCGUGUGAGCUUCAUCUUUACAAACAAGGACAAGAGAUGUGCCUGAGCCACAGAAAAGAGCAGCAGAGCACCAGGACUUGGCUCAGCUCCAAGUCAGAAUGCUGAGCUCCAGAGCUGGGCUUUGGCUGUUCCUCUCACUGCAGGAGCAGAAAUAAUGGUCAAAAUGUUCCUGACCUUGACUGUCUCAUCUGAACAAAUCCUCCUUGACAACUACUACACUUGGUAAUUGUUUAUUUAACUGGGCGAUACUCUGUUACUGUCUCCUCCAAGUCUGUAAGCAACAUGAGGGCAGGGAUGACUUAUGUCUAUUUUGUUUACUGCUUUAUCUGAAGUGGCCAGCACUGUGGCUGGCACGUAGUAGGAGUUCAAUCCAUAUCUGCCAAAAGGAUAAAGGAACAAAUGAACCAAUGAAUGAAUGAAGAGAUAACAGACUCCAGAAGUAAUUACAGCUGAAUCCUAUAGCCCACUUCUAAGAGUAGUAGCAUUUUAGGAAGCCCUAGUAUUUCAGCUUCAGAGAUGGCUAAGUAUAAUUGUGUGAAGUCUGAAAAGGACUUAAACUCUGUCGCUCCAUUAAUGAUCAAGACAGGAAGAGUCUUUAAGAAGAGAAAAAAAUUGACGGAGGGGAGGAUGGCAGAAGGAAAAUCAUGUUUAAGAACUAAUAGAAGAUUUAUGAUAGUAAUUUUUAAAUCUUAGACGUGAAUUAUUCUAAACCAUGAUAAAAGAAUUUACUACAAAUGGCAGUUGCAGAAUGGCUUGAACUGCUAUAUGAUAUCUUAUUGAAUCUCCACACUGCAAAGUUGGUGGAAGUUAAGCUGUUUGUAACUUACUUUGGAGGAAAGAGAAAUAAAUGUGUAUGUAAACGCUAAUCAGGCCGAUGAUCUCUCUUUUGGUGCAAUUUGAUAGCUACACCUGGGAUGGGGCCAAACUCUCUCCGGGGAAAGACUUCCUUUUAGAACACCAGCAAUCCCCAGAUCCAUAAUGGUGAAUUACACGGGUCUGAGAAUAAGAGGAAAAGUCACCAUGACUAGAAUGAAAGGAUAAUGCAAGGGUACUUGGGCUUCUCAUGGCUGCAUGGUAUAUGAUUCUCUGGGUUUUAUACUGCUCCUUCCUUAGCCCUCAGAACUCUUAAUCCUAUUUUCAUUGCCCUAGGUAAACUGGGAAAUAUUUUCUCCUCCUUGACUGCAGUUACUCACACAAUAAACAGGUAAUAAACAUUUUACUGCCCUAAGCAACCUCCUGCUAGGCAGGCAGUCAGAAGAGAAAAGGCUGUGCAAAAUAACCCCCUACAGGAUAAACUGUGGGGUACAAAGGAUGAGAGUAACCCUUCAAUAGAGCGCACCCUCUGUGGGUUCCAGGAGAGUGACUGGGAGCUGCUGGGACACAUUAGCUGGCCCUUGCGGUCUAGAUUCCUCUCUGCUUGAGGCUAGUAGGGAAGAUUUGAUUUCACCAAAAGGUAAUUUAGUUGCCAUUUCAAAGCUCUGUCUAGCUAAAUUAAGGAUGAGGAACGAAACUGGAGUUUACAAUCUCCCAG